UACGUAGGGGCCUAGCGUUGUCCGGAAUUAUUGGGCGUAAAGAGCUCGUAGGCGGUUUGUCGCGUCUGCUGUGAAAACCUAAGGCUCAACCUUGGGCUUGCAGUGGGUACGGGCAGACUAGAGUGAUGUAGGGGAGACUGGAAUUCCUGGUGUAGCGGUGAAAUGCGCAGAUAUCAGGAGGAACACCGAUGGCGAAGGCAGGUCUCUGGGCAUUAACUGACGCUGAGGAGCGAAAGCAUGGGGAGCGAACAGG
rnacentral:rRNA from 1 species